rnacentral:rRNA from 1 species
AAACUUUCAACAACGGAUCACUUGGCUCUGGCAUCGAUGAAGAACGCAGCGAAAUGCGAUAAGUAAUGUGAAUUGCAGAAUCCAGUGAAUCAUCGAAUCUUUGAACGCACAUUGCGCCCGCCAGCAUUCUGGCGGGCAUGCCUGUUCGAGCGUCAUU